ensembl:lncRNA
CCCGGGGCUCCCGCCCGGGGCACGGAGAGGGGUCAAGGCCGCGACCGAGAGGCUCCGGAGGCCCGAGGAGCCGCCAGGCGAGGUGGCCGGGCCGGCUGCCCGGAGCGAGGCCGCGGAAAAUGUCCGACUGGCUCCUUUCGCCCGGCUCCGGGCUGGGACGACUGUUCCCGAAAGAGUUCAGGACCCCCUCGCCCUCCUCCUCCCGCCCCGGGUUAGGGACUCUUGCCAGAAAGUGCGCGGAACCGGCGAACCGGGGCCACCGGGUGGACCCUGCGGGAAAAGUGCAGUCUCCUUUCCCGUGCACGUGCCUGGCCACCUGGUUCGCGCAGUCCCUCCCCGUACCCCUGGCCUUAGCGGGGAGCCCUUGCCUAGCGUGGCUUCCCACUUCUGUCCAUCCUUUUUUUUUUUUUUUUUUCCCGAAACUCUUUUCAUCCCGCACGACGCCAAGCGCGCACUCUAUGACCACGUUCGCCCCUAAACUGCAGACACGGAACCCAGGAAUCAACCCCUUUCCCCCCACCCCACCCUCCACCAAAGCAGGACAAAACUGGGCGCCAGGGAUCUGGAAUGUUCCAGUCGGAAGGGUUUAUAUCCAAGUAGCCUCGCGAAGAGUCGGACACGACUGAGCGACUUCACUUUCACUUUUCACUUUCAUGCAUUGGAGAAGGAAAUGGCAACCCACUCCAGUGUUCUUGCCUGGAGAAUCCCAGGGAUGGGGGAGCCUGGUGGGCUGCCAUCUAUGGGGCCGCACAGAGUCGGACACGACUGAAGCGACUUAGCAGCAGUAGCAGCAGCAGCCAGACGCUGUGCAUUACUGACUCCCCACCCACCAGAGACACGCACAAAUUAACAGACGCCUUUAACUCAAGAGCCGCACUUUGCCAUUGCCUUUGCCUCCCGGACUAUAAAGAAAGCUGAGAGCCGGAGAAUUGAUGCUUUUGAACUGUGGUGUUGGAGAAGACUCUUGAGAGUCCCUUGGACUGCAAGGAGAUCCAACAAGUCCAUCCUAAAAGAGAUCAGUCCUGGGUGUUCAUUGGAAGGACUGAUGGCUUGAAGCUGAAAUUCCAAUCCUUUGGCCACCUGAUGCGAAGAACUGACUCGGAAAAGACCCUGAUGCUGGGAAAUAUUGAAGGCAGGAGGAGAAGGGGAUGACAGAGGAUGAGAUGGUUGGAUGGCAUCACCGACUCGAUGGACAUGAGUUUGGGUAAACUCCGGGAGUUGGUGAUGGACAGGGAGGUCUGGCGUGCUGCAGUCCAUGGUGUCGCAAAGAGUCGGACAUAACUGAGCGACUGAACUGAAGACACUUUUUUGUCUCCUCUGCCCUGAGUUAAUAACUGAAGCAAGGAGUUGGGAUUCCGCCCCCCCCCCCACCCCGCCUUAAAUAAGUCAAUCUAGGAGGACGUUUGGGACAACAGCACCAAUGUUACCUCUGGGCAGCCUUCUCUGACACCCUUGAGGUCCUACUAGACCCUGCCACGGCUUCAGCUGCGCUCAUAGGGAGCCAGUGUGCCCGAGGAAGCCACCACCAAGUCUGGAUGCCAGAGGGUUCCAGCCUCAGGGCGUUGCUGGUUGUACACAGUCCAGCCACUGAUCGCUGAAGCCUGGCAUGUACUUAGUGAGCCAGCUGCCAGCCCCACUUCAAAAGUGAGGAGAAGACUCCUUUGUCCCAGCCUCCGGGAACCGCUUGCCUGGGGUCCACUUUUGCGCUCUAGAAGCAUCAUCGUAAAACUGAUCCUUAGUGUCCCAGUUUUUUUUUUUUUUUUGGAAAGACUGCUUCCUAUUUAAUUGUAAAAUCUCCUUUCCUUCUCUUGUUUCCUGUAGUGUCCAAAAGGGUAAGCUUUUGAAAGUUCAAGAGGCUCAAAGAGACCUGUAUAAAGUUGUUCUUUCUCUUCUCACUAGAAGAAACAUCCUCUCUGAAAUGGAACCUUAUGCCAUGUACAUCCUUUCUGAAUAUGGUAAUCCCCCUGUAUGUAGUAGUUAUCGUAAUUUUAUAUAAAGAAUACAUACAAUCUUGUGAAAAAUGUCCAGGCAGCUAGUGGGGAUAAAGAGUCCUGUUUUCCCCUGGGAAAAAUUCUGGUAGGGAAAAAAAAAAAAAGAAGAAGCUGAGCGAGUUCAUUUGUCUGCAGCAGAAUUGGUCUCAGGCUGUGUUAAAAGUUGGUGCAGAUGGACAUUUGUCCAUAAACCUCCCGCUUCCUCAGUUGACCUUCACAGCAGUAUUGGCCACCGAACCCUGCAGGUUCCCCGAGGCAGCCCCCCUCACAGCAAAGAGUCAGGGUCUUCAGAUGCUGGUGCCUACAACUGCUGGUCUUGGAAAAGACAGUGUCUUAGAAUUUUGGGCACAAGUAACAGAGUAAAUGAAGAUCCAUGGAGAAUCUUGCUCAUACUCCUUAUUUUUAGACUUUUCCGGGAGUCAUUUCAUUGUAAAGUUGGGUCCAGUGGUCAAAACUCAACCUGGGCAGUUGCAGGAAUGUGCUGGCCUGUAGGUUUCCCUGAAAAGAAAUAAAAAUGCACCCUUCCUCAUUACACAGCGCUUCCAAUAAAAUCUAAGAGUUCCCAACUUUUAUUGAGAACAGAAAGGUACAUCCAAAUGGUAUAACAAGCUUCAAAUUGGUUGUAUCAAGCAGUCAACUUUGCUUAUGCACAUUCAGAAUGACAAGAGAAAAAAUAUUAAUUUCAAUUUGAAAGUCGUCAAAAAGCACCUUGUGGGCCACUUAAUGAAUAGCCUCAUGUUAAAUUAGUAAUAUAUGUUUGUUCUUUCACAAAUAAAUUUUCCUCUGAAAUACAGACAUCAGUCAUGGAGUCAAUUAUCUUGC